rnacentral:rRNA from 1 species
ACGGGUGAGUAACACGUGAGUAACCUGCCCUUAACUCUGGGAUAAGCCUGGGAAACUGGGUCUAAUACUGGAUAUUGACUUUUCCUCGCAUGGGGUUUGGUUGAAAGCUUUAGUGGUUUUGGAUGGACUCGCGGCCUAUCAGCUUGUUGGUGAGGUAAUGGCUCACCAAGGCGACGACGGGUAGCCGGCCUGAGAGGGUGACCGGCCACACUGGGACUGAGACACGGCCCAGACUCCUACGGGAGGCAGCAGUGGGGAAUAUUGCACAAUGGGCGAAAGCCUGAUGCAGCGACGCCGCGUGAGGGAUGACGGCCUUCGGGUUGUAAACCUCUUUCAGUAGGGAACAAGGCCACACGUUGUGUGGUUGAGGGUACUUGCAGAAGAAGCACCGGCUAACUACGUGCCAGCAGCCGCGGUAAUACGUAGGGUGCAAGCGUUAUCCGGAAUUAUUGGGCGUAAAGAGCUCGUAGGCGGUUUGUCGCGUCUGCCGUGAAAGUCCGGGGCUCAACCCCGGAUCUGCGGUGGGUACGGGCAGACUAGAGUGAUGUAGGGGAGACUGGAAUUCCUGGUGUAGCGGUGAAAUGCGCAGAUAUCAGGAGGAACACCGAUGGCGAAGGCAGGUCUCUGGGCAUUAACUGACGCUGAGGAGCGAAAGCAUGGGGAGCGAACAGGAUUAGAUACCCUGGUAGUCCAUGCCGUAAACGUUGGGCACUAGGUGUGGGGACAUUCCACGUUUUCCGCGCCGUAGCUAACGCAUUAAGUGCCCCGCCUGGGGAGUACGGCCGCAAGGCUAAAACUCAAAGGAAUUGACGGGGGCCCGCACAAGCGGCGGAGCAUGCGGAUUAAUUCGAUGCAACGCGAAGAACCUUACCAAGGCUUGACAUAAACUGGAAACGCUUGGAAACAAGUGCCCCGCUUGCGGUCGGUUUACAGGUGGUGCAUGGUUGUCGUCAGCUCGUGUCGUGAGAUGUUGGGUUAAGUCCCGCAACGAGCGCAACCCUCGUUCUAUGUUGCCAGCACGUAAUGGUGGGGACUCAUAGGAGACUGCCGGGGUCAACUCGGAGGAAGGUGAGGACGACGUCAAAUCAUCAUGCCCCUUAUGUCUUGGGCUUCACGCAUGCUACAAUGGCCGGUACAAUGGGUUGCGAUACUGUGAGGUGGAGCUAAUCCCAAAAAGCCGGUCUCAGUUCGGAUUGGGGUCUGCAACUCGACCCCAUGAAGUCGGAGUCGCUAGUAAUCGCAGAUCAG